AGGGAAUAUUGGACAAUGGGCGAAAGCCUGAUCCAGCAAUGCCGCGUGAGUGAUGAAGGCCUUAGGGUUGUAAAGCUCUUUUACCCGAGAUGAUAAUGACAGUAUCGGGAGAAUAAGCUCCGGCUAACUCCGUGCCAGCAGCCGCGGUAAUACGGAGGGAGCUAGCGUUGUUCGGAAUUACUGGGCGUAAAGCGCACGUAGGCGGCGAUCUAAGUCAGAGGUGAAAGCCUGGAGCUCAACUCCAGAACUGCCUUUGAGACUGGAUUGCUAGAAUCCGGGAGAGGUGAGUGGAAUUCCGAGUGUAGAGGUGAAAUUCGUAGAUAUUCGGAAGAACACCAGUGGCGAAGGCGGCUCACUGGACCGGCAGUGACGCUGAGGUGCGAAAGCGUGGGGAGCAAAC
rnacentral:rRNA from 1 species